AUGGAGAACGGCUGCUGGGAUGUGGCAAUGGGAAUGAUGUUCUUAUUGCAGACUGUACUUGGAAUCCUGGGGAAUUUCUCUCUUAUUUACCAUUAUCUGUUCUUUUCCAUCACUGGGUGCAGGUUAAGGUCCACAGAUUUGAUUAUCAGACACCUAAUUGUAGCCAACACCUUAUUCCUCCUCCCUAGAGGAGUCCCACAGACAAUGGCAGCUUUUGGGUUUAGACAUUUCCUGAAUGAUUCUGGAUGUAAACUUCCUUUGUGUGUCCACAAAGGAGUGGUUGGGGGAGUGUCCAUUGGCAGCACCUGCCUCCUGAGUGUCUUCCAGGUCAUCACCAUCAGCCUCCGGAGCUCAGGUGGGCAAAAUUUAAAGGGAAAGCCCCCAAGCACGCUGGCUCCUGUGUAUUCCUCAGCUGGCUCCCGCACAUGCUGGUGAAUAGCAUUGUUCUCAUGCACGUGACUGGCAAGUGGAGUAGCAAAAAUACCACAAAGACCAAAGAUCUGGGAUACUGUUCUGCUGCUCAUCACCAGGACACCAGAGAGUCGCUGCACGCGGCACUGCUGUCCUUCCCUGAUGUGAUCUGUCUGGGGCUCGUGCUCUGGGGCAGCAGCUCCAUUGUUUGCAUCCUCCACAGGCACAAGCAGCGUCUCCCCCACAUCCUCCUCUGAGUCCAGAGCUACCAAAACCAUCCUCCUGGUGAGCACCUUUGUGUCCUUUUACACUCUCUCUUCACCUUUCAAGUUUGUUUGGGUCUUUUGAAUAAUCCCAGUUAGUUGGUGGUGAACAUCUCUGCAAUGAUCAAUGCAAAUUUCCCAAAUGUCAGCCCCUUUUUUCUCAUCAGUGGAGACUCCGGUGUAUCCAAGCUUUGCUCUGCUUGGCUGAGUACCACAAAACCCCCUGAUCUUAUCAGAAACAUGUGAAUUGUACAUGUUUGUACAAUGUUUAUGUUUCUUCAUUGAUCUCUAUAGACCCAUAAACACGGUUGUGAAACGAGGCUUGUUAGUGCUGUGCUGGCCAGCAGGGAUGACUGCUUCCUUCCUUAACUCCUGAUCCCUCCCUCCACCCACACCACACUGGAGCAGCUCUGUGGAAAAAGUGGAAUCAGCUUAGAGGUUUUUGGGUAGAAGACACUGAAACGUAAACGUUAUAAGAAAGGGAUGGUGUACAAGCACACAUGCCUCAUUCCUGUCCCUUGGAGUAGACGGAAUGUGUGCAGAUGUGAAGUUCUUGCUGUCAUUUAUGUGAUGAAUAAUAAAAUACAUAUUUUCUCAGAUCCAGAAAUCUCAUGUCUUCAGCCAACAUCCAUAAACUGACAAUCUUACUUGUUGGCUUGCAAGUAAGGUAAAAAUCUAAAACCCUUUGCAAUUUCUGAUAGUUCUGGUGAUGCUGAGACAGGUACGACUUUGUGUAAGAGGAAGGUAGAAAGAUUCUUCACCGGCGUGGUUAGCAGACAGAAGACGGCUUUCUGGAACAAGCAGCAAAUUCUCUCACCCAAACUGGAGUGAAAUGAGAGUAAGAUUCCUCCACUCUCUAACCCUUGAAUGGGGCUGUCGUGUGAGAGGGAGGAUUGAAAUGAACUGUCCGAAUGUGAUUUAUCUGUGGUUCAUUCUCCUCCUGGCAGAAGGAGGAAAGGACAAGGAGUCCCCGAAGCUGAUACUGAACUCAUGGG